rnacentral:lncRNA from 13 species
AUGCUACCCACACACCCUACUACCAAACACAUAUGCCAUACUACACACCACACACACACGCCAUACUACACACCAGACACCCUACUACACACACACACACACACACACACGCCAUACUACACACCACACACACCACACACACACCACGCACACCCUACUACACACCAAACACAUGUCAUACCACACACCACACACCGUACUACACACCACACACCACACACCGUACUACACACCACACACAUGCCGUACUACACACCACACACACCCUACUACACCCCCACACAUACCCUACUACACACUACACACAUGCCAUACUACAUACCACAUACACUCUACUACACACACAUGCCAUACUGCUACACACCACAUACACCUCCCACACACACACCACACAGACACACACCAGGCACACCCUACUACAUACCACACACACAUGCCAUACUACACACCACAGACACCCUACUACACACCACACACACCCCACACACACACCACGCACACACUACUACACACCACACAUGCCCUACUACACCCCACACAUGCCAUAUGACACACCACACACACGCCACACACGCACCCUACUACACACCACAGAGGCAUGCCAUACUACAAACCACACACAUGCCAUACUGCACACCACACACACUCCCCACAUACACACACCAUGCACACCCUACUACACAUCACACACACACACACACACCCUGCUACACAGCACACAGACCAUACACACCCCACACAGACACACACACCACACACAUUACACAGACACCAUAUACCACACAGAUACCCCCUACUAUGCACCACACACACACUACUACAUGCCACACACCCUACUACACACCACACAGGCCACACAGACACACCACAGACACACACCACACACAAAUGCCCUACUACACGCCACAGACACCACACACACCACACACACACUCUACUACAUGCCACACACCACACACACCACACUCUAUAGACACCGUACUACAUGCCACACAUACGAUACAUACCAUACCCACCCUACUACACACCACACACACACUACUACAUGCCACACCACACAUACCCUACUGUGAUGCCACACAUACCACACAACCACCACACACACCCUACUACACACCACACACACCCUACUACAUACCAUACCCACCCUACUACAUACCAUACCCACACACCAGACACCAUACACACCCUACUACACACCACACAAACCACACACACACCCUACUACACACCAUACAGACACCAUACACACCCUUACUACACACCACACACACCCUACUACAUACCAUACCCACACACCAGACACCAUACACACCCUACUACACACCACACAUACCACACACACACCCUACUACACACCAUACAGACACCAUACACACCCUUACUACACACCACACACACCCUUCUGUACACCACACAUCCCACACACACACCACACCACACACACUCUACCUCACACCACACACAUUGUACACAGCACAUACCCUACUACACACCACACACACAGCACACGCUUCUACAUACCACACACACCACACAAAAACACAUACACACAUACACACACCACACAGACACCAGACACACCACACAUCACAAACAUCAUAUACACCCUACUGCACACCCCACACCCCACAGACACACCCUACUACAUAUCACACACACCACACAGACACAUACCACACACAUCUUACUACACACAACACCUAUCACACCACACACCAUACACACAUCCUACUAUACGCCACACACCAUACACACACACCACACAUAGCACAUACGCACUGCUAUACACCACACACCACACAAACAUACUCCACACACACUACACCAAACACACCACACAGACACACAUAA